rnacentral:rRNA from 1 species
AAUCAACGCUGGCGGCGUGCCUAACACAUGCAAGUCGCACGAGAAAGGGACUUCGGUCCUGAGUACAGUGGCGCACGGGUGAGUAACACGUGAAUCAUCUACCUUCGAGUGGGGAAUAACUGAGAGAAAUCUUAGCUAAUACCGCAUAAUACCUACGGGUCAAAGCAGCAAUGCGCUUGAAGAGGAGUUCGCGGCAGAUUAGUUAGUUGGCAGGGUAAUGGCCUACCAAGACGAUGAUCUGUACCCGGCCUGAGAGGGCGCACGGACACACUGGGACUGAACACGGUCCAGACUCCUACGGGAGGCAGCAGUGGGGAAUUUUGCGCAAUGGGGGAAACCCGUAGACGCAGCAACGCCGCGUGGAGGAUGAAGUCCCUUGGGACGUAAACUCCUUUCGACCGGGAAGAUUAUGACGGUACCGGUGGAAGAAGCCCCGGCCUAACUUCGUGCGAGCAGCAGCCGCAGUAAC